UACGUAGGUGGCAAGCGUUGUCCGGAUUUAUUGGGCGUAAAGCGAGCGCAGGUGGUUUAUUAAGUCUGGUGUAAAAGGCAGUGGCUCAACCAUUGUAUGCAUUGGAAACUGGUAGACUUGAGUGCAGGAGAGGAGAGUGGAAUUCCAUGUGUAGCGGUGAAAUGCGUAGAUAUAUGGAGGAACACCAGUGGCGAAAGCGGCUCUCUGGCCUGUAACUGACACUGAGGCUCGAAAGCGUGGGGAGCAAACAGG
rnacentral:rRNA from 1 species